UGAAUAUUAAUUAUCUAGUUAAAUGAAUAUUAGGUGAAUAUCUUCCGCUUCUCUCUGGUCUCUCUCCGAAGAUGAAGUCAAACAUAAAUUCGAUUCCGAAUCCAAACCCAACUUCUUUCGGUCUCGAACCUGAGCUGGACAACGACCUUGAUGACCUCGACGAAGAUGAAAACAUAGUUUACGAUGAUGAACAGUGGCAGGUUAAAUCCAGUAUCGGUCUCAAUUCCACCCUCGAUUUUGAGCAUUGGUUUGCGGCACACUCGUUUACUAUCACUGCGCUUUCAAGAAUUCUGCCAUCUUCUAUCUUUUCUCCGAUGUUUUUAUUGUUCUACUCUGCUCCCUCGCCACUCUCGGUCUCCUCUUCCAGCAAAUGACCAUUCAGGAUGACCGUGUCAAAUUGGUGAGGGAAGGAAAACAUCAGGUUUGGUCACACAUUUUUCUCUUGUAAAAGUUUUUGUUCAUUGAUAAGUAUUAUUUCCUAAUAAGCAGCACUUCAAUCCCACCAAACAAGUAUCGUGUAAGAUAGAAAUACUGGAUGUAUGUUUUUCUUUUGGUUGCUAAGUUUCUCAUAUUAUGUUCAUUAGUGAUUUUACAGAAAGACGAUUUUAUUUAUUAGGCACUUUUAAGGCUGUGGUAGCUAUUGAGCAUGUGAUGGAGUCCAAGUCUAGUACGAAUUCUUCUCCGGGUUCUGUUCUGCAUCAAGAGCAUGUUGGAGAUUUAUCAAAGGGUUGUCUGCGGAUGAAAGUGUCACUAUUAAUGUAAGUAAAAAAAUUACUAUUUCAACUACUCUAAAACCUUCUCAUUUAGCUCUAAGUUGGCUUUUGCUCGUUUGCUUAUCGUGUUGCAAGCAUAUCAUCAUCAUUGGCUGGAACAACUUUGUGCCAAAAAUACCAUUCCCCAUAGUGAUCUACCAUAAGAAGUCUAUGUGGAGUAAGCGGAGUGUGGGAAGGUUUGUUGGUUAGAUGACUCCCAUAUGGCUUGAAAUAAUCUCCCCAGGUUUGGUUUGAGAGUUUAAGUGAAGUACUAUCAGGAUUCUUUAAGCUUACUCGUGAGGAAAUAAGUGAGUUACCGAAAAAUAUGAUUUAGCUAUGAUCAUGUAAUCUUUAUCAAUAAUCCAUUAGUGAGUGGUUAUUCUUCUGGUAGUCUAUGUUUAUGAUAGAGUAAUAGUUUGGGGACGACACAUUUGGCAUAACAGAAUUCAAGACCCUUUUUCAAACCAAUUUUUAAACAGAAGAACUAGGCCAUUUGAAGCACUCCAUAGGAAUUAGAAAGAGAUUUUCCUCUCAUGUUGGAAAUAUGCUCUUGUAUUCCUUUCAUAUAUGUAAAAUUUCAUCAAAAUCACUUUCAUUAAGUGGAUCUGUUUCAUGUUUAGAUAGGAAUGGACGGGCAGAAUCAGAAAAACAAGUACAGUAUAAUUGUUCCUACAUAUAAUGAGCUUCUCAACAUAAGCCUCAUUAUUUACCUUAUAUUCAAACACCUUCCGUAAUUUCUCCAUCUCUUGCUUCUAUAUACUCUCUCUUCAAUUUUUUGUUCCUUCUAUGUUAGUUCUGAGAUUAUUCAUAAGCCGUUAAAUGUGUUUCUUUCAGGGAAUAUAAGCAUGUUUUUAUGAACUUGAUGUGCUUGAGAACGUGUUGCAUGUGUAGUUUGAGGUGUUGACUUUAAUGGAUUUGGGAAACACUUUUGAUUUUCCAUGCCUGCAUAUUAACAAGAAAUAUAUUAGAGAAAAGUAAAUAAAAUAACUCUGAAGAACAAAAGGGACAUAUUACAACAAAAUAAAUAAAAUAAAUAACUUUUACAAAAAACACAUCUUUAACAAUACUAAAACUAUUUACUUUAAACAAAUAACAAUAUAAAUCUAUCUAUAUAGACAUGUCUGUAUUUUAAUCAACUACAUCAUUAUUCAAAUGAUUGGUAGCUAAUUGCAUAUACUCAUCAUCAUUGUUAUGAAAAUUCAAAGCAAGUUCAUGUUCUUAUUAUUACAUGUUUUGAUGAACUUCUUCUUAUACUUCUUCUCCCAUUUCAUACAAAUCUCUUGGCUUUAAAUGCAUUGCAACACUCCAUCCAUUAUUAACCAAAUCCUCAACAUAAUACACACCAAUUGUGCUUGAGAUGCCUCAAUGUAAGGAUCAUGUUCUUCAUGAUCACCAUUAUAAAUCAAUCUAUCAAAAUUUACACAAUUAAAAUUCCAACUAUCCUUUUUAUACCCUCUAUCUCUUGUGGUAUCUGCCCAUUUGCAUUUGAAAAGAGCAACUUUGAAAUGACCAUAAUAGUUAAUCUCAAUGAUAUCUUCCAACUUUCCAUAAUAAGGCAAGUCUGCUUGUCUGAAGUUUCUGUUGAUCGCGACAAAGUGGGUAUGUCUAUAGAUCCGUGACUACAAGUGCACAGUCUUAUCACGUAGUGUAACACCCCAUAUUUUUCUAUUAUACUUUAAUUGAAAUAUAAAUUAAUUAUUUGGAAUUAACUAAUUAUUCGGUGAAUUAUUGGAGAAUUGGAAAUAAUAUAAUUGGGCUUGUGUUGUGAUUAGUAGAGAAGGGGGUGCUAAGUGUGUAGGCCUCACUAAUCAUAUUUCUAAUUUUCAUAAAAUUGUGAAAAGGAAAUUAGAAGAAAAAAGAGCCAAAGUGAGAAAACAGAGAAGAUACGUGAAAGAGGAGAAGAGGAAGAGAACCUUCAAGAGAUUCAAGCUCUAAGGUAAGGUGGGACUCUUUGGGUUAGUAAUUAUUAUACAAUCAAGGGUAGUAGAAUGAAUUAGAAUUGUUGUUUGAUUCAAUUGUAUGUGUUGGGUUUUGGGGUAGUUAGGUUUUGAGUAAUCUCAUAACUUUUAUGUGAAUUUGAUGAAUUGGAUGAUAAUGUUCAAGUAUGUUGUUGAUUGAUGUUAAAACAUGUUAGAAUAGUGUUAUAACAUGUAAAUUGGUGUUGUUUCGAUGUAUAAUUCGUAUUGGUACGAGAUAGAAAUCAUGGAAAGGGCUAAGUUGCUGUCAAAUAACGUUUUUCUACUGCAGGAGGUGAUAGCUAACCGAUUUGUAAAGCGGCCAUUUUUCUCAUACUUUGUUAUAUUUGUGAAACUUGUGAUUAGUGAUAAUAAUAUAGAGUAAGGAACACGAAAUUACAAGUUAUAUUUUAGUUGAGACAAAAUUGUAACAACGGAAAAUUUUGAAAGAAAUGGGUGGAAAAGGAUUAGAAAUGAGGCGCCACACUCUUUCUAUGAUUUAGAAAGGAUGAUAAGCCUUAAAUGAAGAUCACCACAAGAAACUUGGUUUCUUGAUAAUAUAAAAAACUUGGUCCAAUCCAGAACCAAAGGAGCAAAGCUCUCAAAAUCACACAAAGUGUUUAACAAAAUUCAACUUGCUCUUUCAUUCAUAUUUAGCUCCCUAUUUAUAGGUAAAGGGUAGCUUACAAUAAUAACUCAAGAAACUCUACAACUUCAGCCCACUAACUAAUCAAUAAUGAUUUGGAAAAGAAAGGUCACACACUUAAAGGUAGUGGAGAAAGUGGAUAUUAAUUGCCUUGAUGAAUGAUAGCAAUUUAUAGCCACUUUUAUCAAUGCAUCCCACCUUUCUCUUUUUCCUUCCAUCAAAGUUUGACCUUUUGAUUUCUUGAGCCCAUUAUUCACUUAGAAACAUAAAAGUCACGAAAUUUCUAAGCUUUAAGAGCUUUAGGAUUUUUAAAAACACAUUAAAAAUUAAAAACAAGUGUUUUGGGAAAAAAAUUUGACAAGCUGGGCCCUAACACAUUUUAUUUGGAGCACUUUUUUUUAUAUGUUUCUUUCCACAUGCUUAGUAAACUCAUGAUCUCAUCAUUCUCCCAAACUUCAAGAGGAUUUGUCCUCAAAUCCAAACCUGCAUCAAUAGUUAGUUGAUUGAAAAAAAUUCUCUUCCUUUUCUCUUUUCUUUCUUUUUGAAAGUUUUUUGUUUUAUCUUCCAUAUUCUCAAAGAGAUCUUUUUUUUCAAUUGUAUCUUCUUUUUUUCUCUCUUCUUCUUUUCUCUUAUAACUUUUAUUCUUCUUCACUUCCUUGUAAAUGUAUUUUCUCUCUUUUUCUUUUCUUUCCACUUCUUUACUAGUGCUCUCUAUUUUUUCAAUGAUUGUUUUUUUCUUUUCUUCAUUGACAAAAUUUCCAACAUUCAUUUUUUUCUCACUUUCUCUUUUCAAGAUUUGAUGUUGAAAUUUUUCUUUAGGAACAAGAGCUAUUUGAAAAGUUUUAAAUAAAAAAGAGUAUGUGUUAGUGAAAUAAUCAUACUUUGGUCGAUGUUGUUUAUGCCAUGGAAGCCCAAGUAACAAUUCUCUCGUUUUUGAAGGCACCACAUCACAUAACACUUCAUCUUCGUAUUCUUCAAGCAUGAAUGACACUAUUACUUGUUUUGGUCACCAAAAUAUUAGCCAUAUCUUUGAAUUCUGGAUCCUCGAGGCUAUAAAGUAUAUAUGGCUCUGGAUGCUCAAGAACCGGAAGUCCCAAUCUCUCUACCAUAGUUGUACUUGCCAUAUUGAUCCAAUAUUUUUUACUAAUGAACAUGUCACAAACUUUAUAAUUCACAAGACAUUUUGUGACAAAACUUUUCUUUUUUUGUUUGUCUUCCAUAAUGAACCACUAUAAGAAACUAAAACUUGGCAAACAAUUACAAAAAAAAAAAACUUUUGAUGAUUACAAAUAUUUGGCAAACUUUUCAAUACAAGAUGAAGAACAAAAUUAACAAGAAAAAAAAACAAAUUACAAAUAUUUGGCCCUUUUUAGAACCAUGCUCUGAUACCACUUGCUUUCUGCCCUUAUUUGCAUAUUUAGCAUAGCUUUCAUUUUUCUUUUCAAUUUGUAUUUUAACUUCCUCAUGUAAUAUCUUUACAAAGUCAGACUUAGCUUUUCCAUCCUUAUGCUUCAAAAGAGAAGUUUUAGGCAAUGGCAAUAAAUCAAGAGGUGUUAAUGGAUUAAAGCCAUACACAAUUUCAAAAGGUGAAAACUUUGUAGUACUAUGAACAGCCCUAUUAUAAGCAAACUCCACAUGAGGCAACCAUUCUUCCCACAUUUUUAAAUUCUUUUUAAGAACGCCCCUAAGAGUAGAAAGAGUUCUAUUGA